GAAUCGUAUGCGAGGGUGGUGUUAUAAACGGUUUAGGGGUCCAAGCUGUAACUUGUGAAAAUUCUCAUGGCGUUACUGUUGGCCCAAAAUAGUCCCUAUUCAAUUAUCACUACGCAUGCCUGAAUGGAAAUCUUGUCAUUGAUUAAUUUGCUAAUAGCAAUAAUAAUAAAUAAUCAUUUGGAGCUUUUUAUGGUGGUAACGAACGAGCCGAGGUGUUCCGUGCACCCGAUUAAUGAGCUAUUUCGAUGCAUUUCGGUCUUUUAGAUUUUUAAGCACUCUUUCGGCUGCGGGGGACUAUAAAAGAUUACAUUUUAUAAUCUUUGUGAGACAGCUAAAGAACGUUUAACAACAUUCAUAUGAGGAGAUUGGAAAAGCAACUUUAUUUUACGUAAAAAAGGAAAUGAGGAAGCUCGAGCCGUUUGUGUCGACCCGGCAAAAACGGUCAGAUCAACGUAAAAACGGUCUUAAGAACGGGCAGACGGAAAGGGCUAGAUCGACUGGUCUAGUGAUGAUGAUUUAACAGGUCCGAAAGGUCUAAUGCACUGCGAUCCGAACUACUGAAUGAAUUGAUGGCGACUAUA